AUGACACACUUCCUGCUGCCAGUUGGUGGCGCUAUAACUUUUACUCCUAAUAGUCACAUAUAUGCGAUCGGCAUCAUACAACGAACAAAUUGAUGAAGUUUAAUUAAAAUCAGGAAAUGUAUGUGGAUGUUAUUAGACACCUCCUGUUUCUCAUUUCUCGCCAUAAUUUCAACGCCUCGCCACGAGCAAACCGUUCGAGAUAUCAAAAAUCCCCUGGCAAUUUUGCAUCCCCAAUGUCUUGGGAUCAUGUUGACCAAGUUUGGUGGCAAUCGGGUAAAAAACCUAUGACAAGUAUAUCAAAUUCCAGAGCAUGCGCUUUUUACAUAGCUCUAAAUAGCUGACUUCCUGUUGGGUGGAGCCUAUGACAUGCAAUACGAAAGUUGUUCGGCACAAUGCGAUCUAUAUGUGUACUGAGUUUCAUAUGAAUACGUGCAAGUAUGUUUGAACUAUACAUCAACAAUUCUGACUGUGUUCCAGGGGGCGCCGUAGAGCCCCUGUGCCACGCCCGGGUCUCAGCCUCUGCAGCCUCCUAAUGGCCACAGAUUCUAAGGUGUGUGCAAAUUUUCAAGAGUUUUUGAGCAUGUUAAGGGCCCCAAAAGCCCCCACAACUUUGACGAAAAAUAAGAAUACUAAACCCUAAAUAGCCAACUUCCUGUUGGGUGGAGCCUAUGACAUGCAGUACGAAAGUUGUUUGGCUUGAUGAGAUCUAUAUGUGUACCGAGUUUCAUACGUCUACGUGCAAGUAUGUAUGAUAUAUGGCCCUCCAUAUUCCAGGGGGCGCUGUAGAGCCCCUGUGCCACGCCCGUGUAUCAGUCUCUGCCCGGCCCUAAUGGCCGCAGGUUCCAAUGUGUGUGCCAAUUUUCAAGACUUUUUAAGCAUGUUAAGGGCCCCAAAAGCCCCCGAACCCUUGGAAAAAAAUUAGAGGAAUAAAGAAAGAAAAAAAAAAAAUAUAGCUGCAAGCAGCGAUGGCGGGCUCAAGCCAUCAGCGCAAACGCCAC
ensembl:lncRNA